CACAGAUGUAGAUUCCCAGGCUUUCCUGCGGGAAGUCCCCUCGGGAUCCCCGUUCCUACCCUGCUACCUGAUAUCCAGUCCCACUCUGCUCUCUUGUCCGUCUUUCUGGAUGCCCAUUCUCUGGAACCACAGAGGAGGCCAGAAUGGCCAACCCCAACCCACAAGCUCGGAAAUGGCUGCCACAUCCUGUCCUGCGCUCCCUGUCCCUCAUCUCACCUUCUAUUUCUUGUCCUCAGACUCAGACCCAGGUGUCCACUGUCCAUAUUGUGGGUCCGGAGGUCCCCUGAGCUCAGAGGUAUGCUCCUGCGUGCUCAGCCCAGGAUGGAGGAAAGGAGACCUGGGAAGCAGCAUGGCCAGUGUAUUUCUGGAGGGCACUCAGAUCCAAGGAUGGAGGCAGAAAGCCAGGCCGAGCAGGGCCACGGGCACGCCGCGCGCUCCCAGGAACAACCCCAGGCCCAGAAGCAGCAGCAGCAGGGCCUCGUGGGGGCUGAGUCUUCCUGCGACCACCGCCGCCGUAGGUAGGAGGACAGCCUCCCGCUGUCCCGGACCCUCACCGGCCCCCUGACUCCGGCCUCCUGUGAGAAGUGUGUGCUGUGGCCGGGGGGCGUCUGCGGGCCUGUGGAGAGAGCAGGUGGCCUCUGGGCUUCUAGAAGGUGACCACUUACCCGCCUGCCAGGCUGCAGCGCACUUACCAGUGGAGAAGGUCGAAGGCCAGGAAACUGACCAGGAGCAGCAGCAGCAAGGCUGGGCCAGCCGUGGAAAAGACUGUCCGAAUCGUCAGCCCCAGUGCCCCCAGCCCUAGGACACUGUCGAGGAGCUGGGCCAGAAAGCUGCCAGAGGAUGUGCUUCAGCAAAAUCAGGCAUUAAACCGCAAGGACAAUACGAGACUAAAGAAAUGAGGCUAAGUACAGGAAAGCAAUGAUGAGAAAGGCUCAGGAUGUCAGCUGUGCUUCCCAGUGAAGAAAGCAAACAACCCAGCCUGGACUCAAAAGCAAGAUGCUCCGGGAGGCAUGUCUCCAGAAGAAAAUGAGAUCGAUUAUCUGCGGGUUUUAGAUAUGUUAAAAAUAAAUGUUCAGUUCCGCUGGUU